UGUCUUUUGAGUACUUACGUUUCCUCGGUGGGUGCGCCCGCCGGAUUGGACAAUUUAAACCCUUUGCAGUUGCUAUCAGACGUCUGAAAAAAAUUAAUAAUUACAACUUUCAACAACGGAUCUCUUGGUUCUGGCAUCGAUGAAGAACGCAGCGAAAUGCGAUAAGUAGUGUGAAUUGCAGAAUUCAGUGAAUCAUCGAAUCUUUGAACGCACAUUGCGCCCCUUGGUAUUCCAUGGGGCAUGCCUGUUCCAGCGUCAUUUGUACCUUCAAGCUCUGCUUGGUGUUGGGUGUUUGUCUCGCCUUUGCGUGUAGACUCGCCUCAAAACAAUUGGCAGCCGGCGUAUUGAUUUCGGAGCGCAGUACAUCUCGCGCUUUGCACUCAUAACGACGACGUCCAAAAGUACAUUUUUACACUCUUGACCUCGAAUCAGGUAGGGAUACCCGCUGAACUUAAGCAUAUCAAUAAGCGGAG
rnacentral:rRNA from 1 species